CCAGAUACCACGUAGAUUACAUGAAGUAACGUAUGGAAAGUGCCUGAUUCCGCUUCCAGGGGACAUUUAACGAUGUCUGGAGACACGCGUGGUUGUCACACUCGGGGGAGCGGAUUCAUCCGAUGCAGUAAAGCUCUCCAUGGACCAUUUUUAUAGGCAGAUUGCGUCUGGAGAGAAUAGGCGUCCCCCCCAAGGCCGCGGAGCCCGCCAGUACGGUACAUCCAGCUCCCUGGAUGGCCAGUGGAGGAAGACAGUCAUAGCUGAUGUUCACAGCCGCUCACAGCCGGCUUCCUCGGCUCGGACGACUUCACGCCAGCCCUCACCUCACCGCACUGACGUGGCGCUUACCUGUCGGUGGGUUGGUGUUUCCCACUGUCGUUAAUCCUCCUGACAGCAGGGACUGCCUUCACUCGGUGUCCCCUCACCCGGCACCACGCCUGGCUUGAUUGGGAGCUCGGAUGGUGUUUGAACAUCAGUGUGGAACAUCAUUACCAUUCUCAAGCCUCCUGUCUUCAUCUUCCUCCCCCCCCCCCCCCGCCUGCCCCCCGCCACGGACGCUGACACAGGGAGGGGCGUGUGGCAUUCACUGCCUCAAUGUACCCAAGCCUCCCUCCCCACAGCUGUAAAAUGGGAAUGAUGGGGAGGGAGAUCUCUUAGCCCAGAGCCUGGCACAGAAGAGGCACUUAAUAAAUAACGUCUGUAAAAGUC